rnacentral:tRNA from 1 species
GCCACCACGGCCAGUGGUUAGAGCGUAGGUCUCGUAAACGAAAGGUUGCGAGAUCGAAUCUCGCUGGAGGCU